UUUUCCUACGGGAGGCAGCAGUGAGGAAUAUUGGUCAAUGGGCGGAAGCCUGAACCAGCCAAGUCGCGUGAGGGAAUAAGGCCCUACGGGUCGUAAACCUCUUUUGCCGGGGAGCAAGGGCCGGGACGCGUCCCGGCCCGGAGAGUACGCGGAGAAAAAGCAUAGGCUAACUCCGUGCCAGCAGGCAUGGGAAUACGGAGGAUGCGAGCGUUAUCCGGAUUUAUUGGGUUUAAAGGGAGCGUAGGCGGGCGUUUAAGUAAGCGGUAAAAAUUC
rnacentral:rRNA from 1 species